GGCGGUUAUAGCUCAGUUGGUUAGAGUACCGGAUUGUGGUUCCGUGGGUCGUCGGUUCGAGUCCGACUUGCCGCCC
rnacentral:tRNA from 1 species